rnacentral:lncRNA from 1 species
AGUAGCAAAUCCCGAAGGAAGCAUUCUCUGGUGAAAAUUAAAAACGAACACUUUGAAAAGGUCAUCAUGGGUAAUAUCACAAUGCAAUGAUGUAUUAAAUACGUAAAAAAAUAAAACAUCUGAACGAAUCUUCGUUUAAAACGAUUAAAUAUCGAGUUACAAUGUCUACGAAUUAAAUAACGUGGUUUGAUCAAUGAAACACGUCCGUUGGGUGUUCCGGAAGUUGCGGAAGCACUUUUUCUUGGUUCCGGUGAUGCAACCCCUUUUUUCGUCAACGUAACUCUACAAAUAAAAGAUUCAAUAGCGUUGCUGGUUUUAGAAGUACUAUACCUCCCAAUGCCCAACAAUUUCUGUUUGGUUUCCGAUUUCGAUAGCGCUGCAAUAUUAGAAUUAGCUGGCGAAGGAAUAUAAAAACUACUACGUCGAAUCAUGAUUUAUAAGGGCUGAUCACAGAAGUUGGCGAUAUGGCUGCCGGUGCUGAUUUCACGGACACACUAUCCUGAUCUAAUGCUAAAACAAUCGGAUUUUAACCAACCUAACCUAACUUAUAACAAAAUGUUACAAAAAAAUGUCU